rnacentral:rRNA from 1 species
UACAGAGGGUGCAAGCGUUGUUCGGAAUUAUUGGGCGUAAAGCGCGUGUAGGCGGCUUUGCAAGUCGGGUGUGAAAGCCCUCAGCUCAACUGAGGAAGCGCGCCCGAAACUGCAGAGCUUGAGUACCGGAGAGGAUGGCGGAAUUCCCCAAGUAGAGGUGAAAUUCGUAGAUAUGGGGAGGAACACCGGUGGCGAAGGCGGCCAUCUGGACGGAUACUGACGCUGAGACGCGAAAGCGUGGGGAGCAAACAGG